AGCGAACGCUGGCGGCAGGCUUAACACAUGCAAGUCGAACGGGCACUUCGGUGCUAGUGGCAGACGGGUGAGUAACGCGUGGGAACGUGCCUUUCGGUUCGGAAUAAUCCAGGGAAACUUGGACUAAUACCGGAUACGCCCUUCGGGGGAAAGAUUUAUCGCCGAAAGAUCGGCCCGCGUCUGAUUAGCUAGUUGGUGAGGUAAAGGCUCACCAAGGCGACGAUCAGUAGCUGGUCUGAGAGGAUGAUCAGCCACACUGGGACUGAGACACGGCCCAGACUCCUACGGGAGGCAGCAGUGGGGAAUAUUGGACAAUGGGCGAAAGCCUGAUCCAGCCAUGCCGCGUGAGUGAUGAAGGCCUUAGGGUUGUAAAGCUCUUUUGUCCGGGAAGAUAAUGACUGUACCGGAAGAAUAAGCCCCGGCUAACUUCGUGCCAGCCGCCGCAGUAAGAC
rnacentral:rRNA from 1 species